UCUCCUCGGUCCCCAGCACUUUCUUCCGCCGAAGCGCUAGCUUUUGCAGCGUCGCCGCCUCCAGCCCUGUGGAUGUCCCGAGUGCAGCACCACCACCCGCUGCCGCCAUCAGCGUAGCCUGAAAAGGAGUCUUGUGGUGGUGCCAUUCUCCACCUGAAAAGGUGAAGGACAUGGCAGAGGAAUGAUCCUAGAGUGAUCUCAGUGAGGCAAAUGUACCACCAGCAUCCUGAUGAACAGGCUCAAAGUGGUCCAUUUCCACCCUGGUGAACAUCAUGUGUUCCCUGAGGAACACAUGAGGAAAACUUGGAAACUGCUGGAACAAGGAGAGUUUUUUUGAGACACUGGCUGAAAAUGAUAUCCUGCACCAGAAAAAAGUUAUUUUCUUGGACGAAGAGACCUCAUCAGAAGGACCACUCAGUCACCAGGCCUGCAUGCAGUCUCAUCCUCCCUCCCUCCUCCUUAAAGAGGAGCUGGAAUGAACUGGCUCUGCCUACAUUUAUGACAUCAACAAAAGAAAAAGAGACCAGGAGGGUGACUGUGUGCAUCAGUAAACAGUCUGAGGAGACAGAACGCUGUCUUGUUUGGUGAUGGAUCUGAGGGGGCACAUGUGGAGGCUGAGAUUGAGGAGACUGGCAGGACCAUCACUUUUGGUCACACAACAAUGGAUGUACAGUGGUUCUUGGAGGACAGGAACAGCGAAAGGAACCCUGGACCACAGGAUCACAGUGACGUUAACAACACCACCACUGCAGACUUGAAUGAUACUGUUAGAGAGACAACACAGGCUAUCAUACCCUCUAGGACCCCUCCCCACCAUUGGAACAACCAACAUGGAAAUCACAAGGACCUAACUCAUCCACAUAUCCAAAUGAGCAGCACCAGGAGGCACCCAUAGCCUCCAGCAAGCACAGCAGAGGGGCUGGAAGAGGGUGAGGAGGCAGCGUAGGAACCUGUUUUGAAGGUUAUGUUGCUGUCUUCUUGCCCCAGUACAAAAGAUAAAGCAUCCAGAAGCAAUGAGCAGAUUCGAGGAAGUCUUGCAUUCUUUACUCUUAGGCGCCUUCUUCCUUCAGGCCCCACGGGGCUGUUCCCCCUCCAAGGAUUACACAAACAUAAAGACUCCGUGUCCCCAAGGGGACUCCUCGACGUCAAUUAAGUAAACUCCCAUGAUCGUGCUGUCCACAGUGAAUAGAUGCGUCUGCUGAAGAGCUUGAUUGUCUGGAAGGACAGCAGGGGACUCUGCUCUGCUGUCUGCCGGGGAGGGACACAGAACUGCAGCCCGUAGUUUGUUGGAGGUUUGGCCACAGUACCUCAGUGCUGUGAACCCUGUGUGUGUACUUCAGCCCUGAUUUCAAGCCCAGGUUUCUUGAAGAAGCUAUCGCAGGCUGGGAGGUGGUGGCACUUGCCUUUAAUCCCAGUAAUUGGGAGGAAGAGGCAGGCGGAUCUCUGUGAGUUUGAGACCAGCCUGGUCUACAAAAGCUAGUUCCAGGACAGCCUUCAAAGCCACAGAGAGAAACCCUGUCUCGGAAGCAAAACAAAACAAAACAAAACUAUCUCUAUAAUUAAAGUAAGACUUCUCA